CUAGUUUCAUCGGUUUUGUUGAAUAUUUCUUAAUAGAAUAAAGAUUUAAUUAUGCAAGAUCUUCAAACAUGGACCAAGACAACGCCAAUUUUAGUACUUGUUGUUGUAUUGGUAUUGCAAUUAUUCCAAGGACAAUUUUUUGUUCUUAUAAAACAUCCAAAGAAAGAACAGCCUGUGAAAAAUGUGAUUUUGCUUUUAUCUCCAACUUUCGUCAUUUUAUCCAUCGCCUGAGUACUUUUGAGAGUGGAAAUCCUAUUAAGUUUAAAAGCUCAUAAAAUGAAUGUUGUUUAAUACCAUUACCAUUGGUUGUAUUUAACCAGUUAGUAGCGAUCUGGAAAUACUUUUUGCUGCUUUGAAAGCAUGAGUAUUUCAGAAGGUCUUGCAUAAAGUUGUGGAUUUUUAUGAUAUGAUUUUGGUCAUCUAUUACAGCUCUCAAUCUAUAUUCAUGGUGCAAUUGGCUUGAGGGUCACAAUUCCAGCAUUGUACACCAGUUGAUGUUAAUUGUUGGUUGGAGCAAAAUUCUUAGUGGUUUAAAGAUUCGUUAAGUUGAAUUUAUCUGUUUGGCUUGAGGGUCACAAUUCCAACAUUGUACACCACUUUUAAGCUUACCCAAAAUCAAGAUCAAAAUCCGCAAGUCAAGAUCGAAAUCAACACAAGGCCAAUCUGCCUUGUGAUGGAGGUGAAGGACUGGCUGGAGGGAUGAGGAAGACGACGGGGUGCUGGAGGGAGGACAAGCGCGCGCGUCGUUGAUGACUCGAUGUGGUUCUCUCUCUGUCUCGGGUCUGUGGCUGGGGUUUUUGGGAGAAGAAAGUGAUUACUGACAGAAUAAAAAUAAUUAAAUGGGUUAAUUAUCAUUUUGCUCCCUAACCUUUGAAAUUUCUCUCUCCCUCUAAAAUUUAAUUAUUAUUAUUUUUCUUGUCUUCUUCCAGUUUUCAACGUAGUAGGUAGAGUGAAUUUGACAUUAGGCACGUGGUAGCAAGCACAUGGCAAAUUCAUUCUUCUGAUUAUAGCUUUUUGGUUUAGAUUAUGAUCUAUCCUCAUUGAAUGGAUCACUAGCUAGCUUUAUAGUCCAUGUCCUAAUUUAUGAGUAUAGACCAUUUGCAUUCUUUCUAUAACAAUAUGUUACCUGAAUAUAAAACCAACAAUCUUGUUAUGUUGAGUUCAUGUGAUAUCUAGGAAUGGCAAGCACGGUAACGGGAAGAUACAGAGGAUCUGCAUAGAAGACGUCAACAGGAAGAGGAAGAAGAGAAAGGAAAGGUUAAAGAGUAUUGUGAAAUUGCACACACUUGAAAGCGUAUCCAGAAAGAAAGAAAAAAUGCCACAAAGACUGGUUUCUAGCUUCAUCAGAGCUGCUAGAGAUUGGAGAAGUGGUGAAGGAAAUUGGGGAAGCUGCUGAGAAAGGAGAACUCAAUGGGCUUGUUUUAAUGGUCAUAUGGAAUAGCCCUGAUCUUGCUAGACGAUGAAAUGGAUGCUGUGAGAAGUCUUGAUCUGUUAUACAGAAAGGCUGAGGUUUGAUGAUGAAGGUUGGCUGAAGGAAUGCAAAAAACACACAUGGUGGCACCUUUCCAUGAGAGGAUCCAUUUAGCGUUCUUGUUCCAACAGGAUUUGAAGUUAACAAGGUUUAGUAAUGGUUUUGUAGGCUAUUAUGGUACCACAUGGCACAAUACAUUUUUAGCUUUACAGAUUGCAGCUCUACGACUAGUACAAAGGAGCCCAUCCCAAAAUUCAGCUUUUGCCAACUGCGAGACCAAUUUUUACUAUAUUUUGAAAGCAGAUUCAGAGACUAGAAUGCAAUUGGGUCUCAAGAAGAAUCAUUCUGAAGAUUCUCCUGUGGUUCUAUAUGUUAGGAUUAGUGCCCUUAAAUCCUAUUGUAUGAUGCU